GACAGAGGUUGCAAACGUUGUUCGGAAUUACUGGGCAUAAAGCGCACGUAGGUGGUCCGCUAAGUCGUGUGUGAAAUGCCCCGGCUCAACCGGGGAAUUGCGCACGAUACUGGCGGGCUUGAGGUCGGGAGGGGUGAGUGGAACUCCUGGUGGAGCGGUGAAAUGCGUAGAUAUCAGGAGGAACACCGGUGGCGAAAGCGGCUCACUGGCCCGAAUCUGACAUUGAGGUGCGAAAGCUAGGGUAGCAAACGGG
rnacentral:rRNA from 1 species